rnacentral:rRNA from 1 species
GGUUGAUCCUGCCAGUAGUCAUAUGCUUGUCUCAAAGAUUAAGCCAUGCAUGUCUCAGUGUAAACUUAUAAACAGUGAAACUGCGAAUGGCUCAUUAAAACAGUUAUAGUUUAUUUGAUGUUCAUUGCUACAUGGAUAACCGUGGGAAUUCUAGGGCUAAUACAUGCGUAAAUACCCGACUUCUGGAAGGGUAGUGUUUAUUAGAUUAAAAGCCAUCACCAUGCUUGCAUGGAUUUGUUGGAAUGAUAAUAACCGAUCGAAUCGCUUACCUUAGGGUGCGAUGUAUCAUUCAA